rnacentral:rRNA from 1 species
UAGUCAUAUGCUUGUCUCAAAGAUUAAGCCAUGCACGUCUAAGUACAUGCCGACUUAAGGCGAAACCGCGAAUGGCUCAUUAAAUCAGUUACGGUUCACUGUAUUUUAACUUCCUACUUGGAUAACUGUGGUAAUUCUAGAGCUAAUACAUGCCUCGGGUUCUCGACUUGGUGCAGGCAACUGCUAUCAGGAAGAGACGCACUUAUUAGACCAAGACCAGCUCUGCGCAAGCAGACAACUCUGUGGUGACUCUGGAUAAUUAUCGCAUGAUCGCAUGGCCUCGUGCCGGCGACUAAUACAUCAAGUGUCUGCCUUAUCAACUGUCGAUGGUGGGUUAUACGCCCACCAUGGUUGUAACGGGUGACGGGGAAUCAGGGUUCGAUUCCGGAGAGGGAGCCUGAGAAACGGCUACCACAUCCAAGGAAGGCAGCAGGCGCGCAAAUUACUCACUCCCAGCAAACAGGGGAAGUAGUGACGAAAAAUAACGAUGCGGGUCACUGCGUGUGGCUCCGCAAUCGGAAUGAGCACAAUCUAAAUCCUUUAACGAGGAUCAAUU